CAGAUGAGAAGUUUUUGAUGUACCCACCAUCCACUUUGGCUGCGUCGUCUAUUUGCGCGGCUGUUGCUGGUCUCACAACAACAGAACAAAAAAGCGAGUGGACAAGAGGAGAACUUGAAUCAUUCCUACAAGGGCUCACAAAUAUCGAACCGGAAUACUUGCAAUCGUGUCAAAGACUGAUGGAAGAAGUACUUCAUUUUAAUGUCACGGAAACUCCAUUAGAUAAAAUCGAAAAUGGAAGCUCGCCGAGUACGCCGACAGAUUUACAGGAAAUCCAUUUUUGACAGAGGCAUUUAGUGGACUGUCACAGAACCUUCCGUGUGUGUGUGCCAACCUAUCUAUCGUGUGUAAAUACUGUAAUAAAGACUAGAAUUUUCUCAAA